GUCGUGUCUCUGCCUUUUGGCUAUGAUCAUGUGUAAUAUCUGUUCUUAUCAGUUUAAAAUUUCCUCAAUCAAAAUAUCAAGGCUAGAACCCAGCUACACAGCUUUAAUCCCUUUGCAAGGAAGACUGAGAAAAGUGCUCUAUGUCCUCAGAAACAGGAAAAUAAUUUUUUUAUACAUUUUUU